rnacentral:rRNA from 1 species
GACGAACGCUGGCGGCGUGCUUAACACAUGCAAGUCGAACGGUGAUGGGAGCUUGCUCCCUGAUCAGUGGCGAACGGGUGAGUAACACGUGAGCAACCUACCCUUGACUCUGGGAUAACAGUUGGAAACAGCUGCUAAUACCGGACACGACCCCCACGGGCAUCCGCGGGGGUGGAAAGCUCGGACGGUCAAGGAUGGGCUCGCGGCCUAGCAGCUUGUUGGUGAGGUUACGGCUCACCCAGGCGACGACGCGUCGACGGCCGGAGAGGGGGGCCGGCAAGACUGGGUCUGGGAGACGGCCCUGAGUCUGACGGGGGGCAGCGUUUCGGGAUAUUGUGCACGGGGCGAGAGCUUGCGGCGGCAACGCGGCGUGCGGGUUGUCGGCCUUCGGGGUGGAAACCGCUUUCAGCAGGGACGAAGUGCAAAUGAUGGUACCUGCAGAAGAAGGACCUGCUACCUACGUGCUAGCCGCGGCGGUAUCAC